UACGUAGGGUCCAAGCGUUAUCCGGAAUCACUGGGCGUAAAGCGUGCGUAGGUGGCGUGUUAAGUGUGAUGUUAAAUCGUGGGGCUCAACCCUAUCGAUGCAUCGCAUACUGGCAUGCUAGAGGGAAGCAGAGGCAAGUGGAAUUUGUAGUGUAGCAGUGAAAUGCGUAGAUAUCAAGAGGAACACCUGAGGUGAAGACGGGUUGCUGGGCUGACACUGACGCUGAGGCGCGAAAGCCAGGGGAGCAAACGGG
rnacentral:rRNA from 1 species